CUUAAGCCUUUUUUAGCCUGAAGGACUUUAAGGAUCUGAAGGUUGUUGAAAUAGAGGAAGAGAUUCACUUAUCCUCUUGAGGAUGAAUAUAGUUGCAGCAUUCUUCAUUUCAACCCCUAGAUUCAUAAUCUUCUUCUUAAAGUAUAUUCCAACACUUCCUCUAAGCUUGUACUCUGGGAUUCCUAGAUUUUCGUUUGGUUUGAAAGUUCCUUUCACGACAUCUAUAUAACUCCAUGGUAGGCUUUACUGUUUAAUCUCCCUCUUCAUACAAACAUCUCCUUUGGAUUCUCAGACUGUACUUCUUUCUUGUUUUUUUACUCAAAUUCUUCUUUUCUGCAAAGUGUCUGGCAUUAGAAUGCCAAAUUCUCUUCCAUAACUUGUUUUUGUUGAACCAUCUUUGUGAUUCUUUUGUGAGAUAUCCAAUGUGAUCUUUUAUCAGUUUGAUCUCCUCAUCCAUAGCAAGUCUCCAAUAAUUUUCUUUUCUAAUGCAGUAUCUUCUCAGACGAGUUUUGUGUAAAAUCAUUGUCAUCUCUUCAACCAUCUUCACUGGUAUGGUACUUUUUCUAUUCUUUCGUCUCCUUUCUGAAUUUUGUUAUUGUCACUCUGUUUUUCUGUUUCUGGGUCUUCUCUUAUAUUACAACCCUUGUCUUGAUUCUCUGUGAAUCGAUUAGAGACAUCUACUCUUCUUGAUCCUUUACUCCCUUUAUAUGAUGUUUGUGGUAUUUCUUGUGGUUCAGUGGCUGAAUUUUCGGUUCUAGCUUUUGGUGGUAAAUAUUGAGAUUUUCUUGGUUGAUUCCUGAAGACUCUUCUUCUCGACUUAAAUACUCUUUCUCAAUGAUUGACCAGCUUAGUGAGAAGCAAUUUCCACUCAUAGGAGCUUCAAUGAUCGUAUUGUAUUCUUUAUGUUCACAUGUUUAUUUCUCUAGUAUCAAAUUUCAUGAAAUAUUAUGUUUAUGUUGUGAACAAAUCAUGGUAAUUCAAAUUAUUCUGGCUGGAAAUGGGGUUAGUACACAGUAGUAAAUUGAUGCAACUUUGUUGUGGAGGAGAGUCGCUCAAUUUUAUUUUUAUUUUUUUCAGAAAUUGAGAUUCAACCAAAGACGAGGCAAUGCCCAUUCAGAUGAGAUUUAAAUUAAAUGUUACAGGUAAGAAAAUCAGCAGAGGCCAGUGUUGGUUGUGAUAGAGUGUAGUGAGUGCAGCUUCUCCCUUAGCGCAAUGAGCUGAGCCCUUAGAAGGCUGUUGUGAUAUUCGAUAUCCAUGUAAGCAUUGGAAACAACUACAAUCUAGUUAGCAAUGUAAGAGUUCUCUUGCACAA